rnacentral:rRNA from 1 species
AUUGAACGCUGGCGGCAGGCCUAACACAUGCAAGUCGAACGAGUUUCGGCCGUUUUAUUCAUUUCUGGGACACUUCCUGUUGGCGGGGUCUAACUACUGGAAACGGUAGCUAAUACCGCUUACCUUCCUUUGUCCCCAUAUGGGAGUAGCUUGUUGGUGGGGUAACGGCGCACCAAGGCAACGAUCCCUACCUGGGCUGAGAGGAGUACCAGCCACACUGGAACUGUGACACGGUCCAGACUCCUACGGGAGGCAGCAGUGGGGAAUAUUGCACAAUGGGCGCAAGCCGGAUGCAGCCAUGCCGCGUGUGUGAAGAAGGCCUUCGGGUUGUAAAGGACUUUCAGCGGGGAGGCGUGAAAAGCAGAAGAAGAACCGGCUAACUCCGUGCCAGCAGCCGCGGUAAUAG